rnacentral:rRNA from 1 species
UAAUACGUAGGGCGCAAGCGUUGUCCGGAUUCACUGGGUGUAAAGGGUGCGCAGGCGGGAAAGUAAGUUAGAGGUGAAAUCUCACAGCUCAACUGUGAAACGGCCUUUGAUACUGCUUUUCUUGAGUUAGGGAGAGGUUGAUGGAAUUCCAGGUGUAGCGGUGAAAUGCGUAGAUAUCUGGAAGAACACCGGUGGCGAAGGCGGUCAACUGGCCCUAAACUGACGCUCAGGCACGAAAGCGUGGGGAUCAAACAGGAUUAGAUACCCUGGUAGUCCACGCCCUAAACGAUGAAUACUUGGUGUUGGCCUUUUUUGGUCAGUGCCGAAGGUAACCUGAUAAGUAUUCCACCUGGGGAGUACGCUCGCAAGGGUG